ACCGGAUUAGAUACCCUGGUAGUCCACGCCGUAAACGAUGUCGACUUGGAGGCUGUUCCCUUGAGGAGUGGCUUCCGGAGCUAACGCGUUAAGUCGACCGCCUGGGGAGUACGGCCGCAAGGUUAAAACUCAAAUGAAUUGACGGGGGCCCGCACAAGCGGUGGAGCAUGUGGUUUAAUUCGAUGCAACGCGAAGAACCUUACCUACUCUUGACAUCCAGAGAACUUUCCAGAGAUGGAUUGGUGCCUUCGGGAACUCUGAGACAGGUGCUGCAUGGCUGUCGUCAGCUCGUGUUGUGAAAUGUUGGGUUAAGUCCCGCAACGAGCGCAACCCUUAUCCUUUGUUGCCAGCGAUUCGGUCGGGAACUCAAAGGAGACUGCCGGUGAUAAACCGGAGGAAGGUGGGGAUGACGUCAAGUCAUCAUGACCCUUACGAGUAGGGCUACACACGUGCUACAAUGGCGCAUACAAAGAGAAGCGACCUCGCGAGAGCAAGCGGACCUCAUAAAGUGCGUCGUAGUCCGGAUCGGAGUCUGCAACUCGACUCCGUGAAGUCGGAAUCGCUAGUAAUCGUGGAUCAGAAUGCCACGGUGAAUACGUUCCCGGGCCUUGUACACACCGCCCGUCACACCAUGGGAGUGGGUUGCAAAAGAAGUAGGUAGCUUAACCUUCGGGAGGACGGUUACCACGGUGUGAUUCAUGACUGG
rnacentral:rRNA from 1 species